ACGGGAGGCAGCAGUGAGGAAUAUUGGUCAAUGGGCGCGAGCCUGAACCAGCCAAGUAGCGUGAAGGAUGACUGCCCUAUGGGUUGUAAACUUCUUUUGUUCGGGAAUAAAGUCGGGGACGUGUCCCCGUUUGUAUGUACCGUUCGAAUAAGCAUCGGCUAAUUCCGUGCCAGCAGCCGCGGUAAUACGGAAGAUGCGAGCGUUAUCCGGAUUUAUUGGGUUUAAAGGGAGCGUAGGCGGGCUGUUAAGUCAGCGGUUAAAUGUCAAGGCCCAACCUUGUCAUGCCGUUGAAACUGGCGGUCUUGAAUACACACAAGGAUGGUGGAAUUCGUCGUGUAGCGGUGAAAUGCUUAGAUAUGACGAAGAACUCCGAUUGCGAAGGCAGCCAUCUGGGGUGCGAUUGACGCUGAGGCUCGAAAGUGCGGGAAUCAAACAGGAUUAGAUACCCUGGUA
rnacentral:rRNA from 1 species